GAUGUGGGGUUUCACCACGUUGGCCAGACUGAUCUUGAACUUCUGACCACAGGUGAUCCGCCCGACUUGGCCUCCCAGAGUGCUGGGAUUACAGGGGCGAACCACCAUGUCUGGCCAAUGCGUUUCAGUUAGAGAACAAAGAGGAUUCAUUUUUUUCCUUACAAAUUGAUGCGAAUGACCUGCUGCUGCAGGCUUCAUCUUCAACAUCAUCUUGUCCCUUCUUACAAGUUUUUCAUAUGUAAACUGCUGAUUUAUUUAGGGGCAUUGUCCCCAUAAACAUUUGGUAAAGCAUCAGUGAUUUUACCAUUCUUCCACCCAAACAUCACCUUAAUGUUUGUUCUUCCUUCAGUUUUAGCAGAAUUCAGUUUGCUCUGAUACUGGCUUUUUUAAAAAGUGAUGAUUUCUCCUUUUUCAUACCUCAGACUGGAUCCUGUUGAUGUAUUUUUUAACGAGUUAGUAACAGUUUCUUUUGGUACCAAAAGAUUUUGCAAUCUAUGCAUAGUUUCUUGAUAAUAACUUUUUGAAGACUUCUCAUAUGGUUGUUGAUACGAUUGGGCUCUGUGCCCCCACCCACAUCUCAUUUUGAAUUGUAAUCCUCAUUUGUCAAGGGAGGAACUUGGUGGGAGGUGAUUUGAUUAUGGAGGCAGUUUCCCACAUGCUGAUUUCAUGAUAGUGAAAGAGUCUCAGAUCUGAUCGUUUUAUACAAGGCAGUUUUUUCCUAUGCUCACACUUGACCUCUGGUCUGCUGCCAUGUAAGAUGUGCCUGCUUCCCCUUCUGCCAUGAUUGUAAAUUUCCUGAGGCUUCCCAAGCCAUGUGGAAUUGUGAGUGAAUUAGACCUCUUCCCUUUCUAUAUUAUGUAGUCUCAGGUAUUUCUUUCUACCGGUGUGAAACUCACUAAUACAGCUCUGAAAGAAAUGGAGAUACACAGAUUAAUGGUUUUAAUGAAGCAUCAUUUUAAAUAUGAGAACGUAAGUUUAGAAGCCAAAAGGAAAGCUCUAGAUGGAUGAAUAUCCAAGAGAAAGGACAAGUAAUAGUGUAGGCUUCCUGUAAAAGGCAGGUGAAAAUGGAAGCCAAAGUAGAGGUUAGAGGAGAAACAAUGUUCCUGAAUGACCAAGCAUGAGUUGAUACCGCUUGCCUCUUUGUCUAGCCUGUCGCCAGCCAUCUCAAGGCUGUCUAUGUCAGCAUCUCCCUCUUUUCUUCUACUUGCCUUGCCUGUCCAGCUCUGGGUAAACUGCACUUCCCCACCCCACCCUCUUAAAUUUCUUCCACUGGCUCAUUCAUUUAGCAAACAUGUACCGAUCCUUGACUGUGUGUCCAGCCCUGGAGGUCAGGGAUUCAAAUAAGUCCCUGUGCCUGUGGAACUCAUGUUUCAGUGUUGGCAAGAGACAAGUAGCAGUAGUCAGAUCAUGAUGCACGAUGUCAGAAGGGUCGUAGUAGCACGGGGUGGAGUGGGAGCCUCCUGCCCCUAAGCUGCAAGUGUUGCUGGAGAAAAUCCCUCAACCAGAUCAACUGGCAAAACCACAGGAGCGCCCUCCCUCCUGCUAAGCGAUUUUUAAAACCCAUCUUAAAUUGAUAUCCUUUCCCAGCGCCACCUUUCUUCUUCUAAUUUUCCACCUUGCUCUCAUUUCUUAUGUUGCAGACAAGGGGGGUAAGGACCACUUCCUCAUAAGGCAUAAUUUCAUGUCCUUGAUAACUAUGGGCCAGGCACAGUGGCUCAUGCCUGUAAUUCCAGCACUUUGGGAGGCCAAGGCGGGUGGAUCACUUGAGGUCAGCAGUUGGAGACAAAUCUGGCCUACAUGGUGAAACCCCGUCUCUACUAAAAUACAAAAAUUAGCCGGGCAUGUUGGGGUGCACCUGUAGUUCCAGUACUCGGCAGACUGAGGCAGGAGAAUUGCCUGAAUUUGAGAGGCAGAGGUUGCAGUGAGCUGAGACUGCAAACUGCACUCUAGCCUGGGCAACAAGAGCAAAAUUUUGUCUCAAGAAAAAAAAAAAAAAAAAAGAAUGAGCCAAGCGUGAUGCCUCAUGCAGGUAAUCCUAGCAUUUGGGAGGCCAAGGCAGGAGGAUAGCUUAACUUCAGGAACUCAAGACCAUCCUGGAUAACAUAGGGAGACCGCAUCUCUAUUAAAAAAUUUAAAACGUAGCCCAGUAUGGUGGAGCGUGUCUGCAAUCCCAGCUGCUAGGGCACUGAGGUGGGAGGAUCGCUUGAGUCUGGAAUUAUUGAGGCUGCAGUGAGCUGCAAUCUUGCCACUAGCACUUCAGCCUGGAUGAUACAAUGAGACCAUGCCUCCAAAAAAUAGGAAGUGAUAGCAGGCUUAUAAAAUAAUGAUUACUAAAUGGUUGCUUUUCUUUGGAGAUGGAAAGAGGAAGUGGUCAAGUUGUCAUUUACCAUGCCUUCAAUGACUGGGCUUUAGUGUAUAUUAAUAUAUGUUAUGACCUGAAAAUCCCAAGUAAAAGUUUGGUGACAUUGUUGUAAAAGUAACAUAUUCUGUUGUACUUCAGGACCAUCCAGGGACGCAGCGUUCCCACCCAGGAGCUCGAAACCGAGGUCGAUUCCGGUGCCCUGAUGACAAGUCUGAAGAUUCAGCAGUAAAAAGAAAGCAGGAAAGUGGUAUUACCCAUAGAAAGGGAGAGGAUGGGUGUGAUAGCUCACACCCGUAAUCACAGCACUUUGGGAGGCCGAGGAUUAUCCAGAGAUGCAACGUUACCAACAAGGAGCUCGAAGCCAAGGUCGACUCUGGUACCCUGAAGACAGCACCAAGUCUGGAGAUUCAGCACUAGAAAGAAAGCAGGAAAGUGGUAUUAGCCAUACAAAAGAAGAGGAGAGGCCGGGUGUGGUGGCUCAUGCCUGUAAUCCCAGCACCUUGGGAGGCCAAGGUGAAUGGAUCACCUGAGGUCAGGAGUUUGAGACCAGCCUGGCCAACAUGGUGAAACCCUGUCUCUACUAAAAAUACAAAAUUUAGCUGGGCGUGGUGGCAGGCACCUGUAGUCUCAGAUACUUGGGAGGCUAAGGCAGGAGAAUUGCUUGAACUCAGGAGGCAGAGGUUCCAGUGAGCCAUGAUCUUGCCAGGCAGAGGUUCCAGUGAGCCAUCAUCUUGCCACUGCACUCCAGCCUGGGCAACAGAGCAAGACUCUGUCUCCAAAAAAAAAAAAAAAAAGAGAGAGAGAGAGAGAAGAGGAGAGGAGUAUAUACCAGAGGAGUAAGUUUUGCCUCAAAGCAGGAAUCUGAUCAGAUGUCAGAAUUGAAAUUAUAAUCUCAUUGUUUUUGCAAUUUUUAUAAAUUAACUUUAAAGUGUCAGAAAAAGGUAAUGGUGAGGACAUGCAUUGCAAUUUGCAGGGAGUUCAUUACCUGUGACACGAGAGAAAAGUAAGACCUGUUUCUAAAAUCAAAAGCUGCUGUUCAUCCUGAAUUGAAUUUCUGAAUUUUGGUGGAGCAGAGUCGCUUUGAAGCCUUGUUCCCCUCUAGUUAUACUGAAUUGCUGAUGAUAACUGUUGACUCUGGGUAGUGUAGAAGUCACAAGCGUGUCCUUGUAGCACAAGUACAGGGAAGGAUAGAACAAACUUUCAUUGAUGCAAACAUUUAAAUAGUCAUGUUACUUCUGUAUCCAAUGUCCUAAAGUUUUGGGAUUAGUUUUAGUUUUUUAUUUGCUUUUAUGAGCUUAGCAUGAGGAAUAUUUGUAAACAUCUCAUUUUGUCUUCCUUCAGCAUUUUUUCUAUCAAGAGGUAAGAUGUAGUCCUUGUUGGAUUCUUGACAAUCUAGGUUGUUUUAUCUCAGGUCUCGUGAUCUGAGCACAUACCCUCUCCAGGAGGGAAACUGAACCAAUGUCUGUUGUUGUUAGAUGGCAACUUUUAGUCUCAGCUUGUUUUGUUGUGAUGUUGAUAAAUAGUAACAGCAUCCAAGUAUGAAGCUAAGUGUGGUAAGUCACUUUACUAAAUAGCUGUGAGUUUUGAGAAAUUAAUUUUUUGAUACUGAAUUAACCUCUUAGAAGUAUUGACAGGGGAUGAAUGAUGUUAGUUUCUUCCUUCACUAGCAUGGCUUUGUCCACCAGGGAAUGAUCAGUUCACGGUUCACUCCUAUAUUAGGCCAUUCUUGCAUUGCUGUAAGGAAAUACCUGAGACUGGGUAGUUGAUAAGAAAAGAGGUUUGGCCAGGCGCAGUGGCUCAUGCCUGUUAUCCUAGCACUUUGGGAGGCCGAGGUGGGAGAAUCAGUUGAUGUCAGGAGUUCGAGACCAGCCUGGCCAACAUGGUGAAACCUGUCUCUACUAAAAAUACAAAAAAAUUAGCCAGGCAUGGUGGCACAUGCCUGUAAUCCCAGCUACUCGGAAGGCCGAGGGAGGAGAAUCCCUCGAACCCAGGAGGCAGAGUUUGCGGUGAGCCAAGAUUACACCACUGCACUCCAACCUGGGAGACAGAGAGAGACUCUGUCUCAAAAAAAAAAAAAAAAAAAAAAGAGGGCCGGGUGCAGUGGCUCAUGUCUGGAAUCCCAGCACUUUGGGAGGCUGAGGUGGGUGGAUCACGAGGUCAACAGAUCGAGACCAUCCUGGUCAACAUGGUGAAACCCUGUCUCUACUAAAAAUACAAAAAAUUAGCUGGGCAUGGUGGCACGUGCCUGUAGUCCCAGCUACUCAGGAGGCUGAGGGAGGAGAAUUGCCUGAAUCCAGGAGGUGGAGGUUGCGGUGAGCUGAGAUUGUGCCAUUGCACUCCAGCCUGGGUAACAGGAGCGAAACUCCGUCUCAAAAAAAAAAAAGAAAAAAGAAAAAAAAAAGAGAUUUAUUUGGCUCACAGUUCUGCAGGCUGUACAAGCGAGGCAUCUCAGAUUGCUCAGCUUCUGGGAGGCCUCAGAGAGCUUUUACUCAUGGCAGAAGGUGAAGCAAGGGUAGGCAUUUCACAUCACAGAGUGAGCAAGAGAGUGAGUGUGGGGAGGAGGUGCCACACUUCACAACAACCAGAUCUGUAAGAACUCACUAUGGAGAGGACAGCACUAAGCCAUGAGGGAUCCGCCCCAUAACCCAAACACCCCACCAGGCCCCACCUCCAACACUGGGCAUUAUAUUUCCAUGAGAUUUGGGUGGGGACAAAUAUCCAUACUACGUCAACUGUUCUGGUCUCAUAAAAACAAAAUGUUUAGACAACAUCCUCGAGCUUUUGCCUGAUUUUCAUUCAUCCUGCCAGCCCUUCCUAACAUGGCAUGUUUGCCUUUACUUACUUAAUCACCACUUUAUGUUUGCCCAGCUUUUAGAAACAGGUAGCCCAAGAGACAGGUACAAGAGCCACCAAAAAUUAUUGAAAGUGAAUGAUUCUUAACUGAGCGAGAAUCCUAAGGGAAGGGAAAAUUUCAAGAAGGACAACCCAUGCCACAGAAAGGUUAAGGAAGAGAAGAAACGAAAGUGUUCAUUGGAUUUGGCAAUUGUGAUUUCAUUAGUGAACUAAUGAAACUGAUGACCUAAAGGUGACAGAAACCCUGUUUUGUGAAUGGCAGGUGGGAAGUGGAUGUAAGGAUUUGGAAUUCAUCUGUUUUUAGGUGGCCAUUGAAGUCAUGGCCGUGGAUUCUGUCACUUUAGGGGCAGAGAAAAAGAAGAGAAGCAGAUCUAGGGCCGUGCCUCGAAAAACUAACAUUACACAGAGGUAAGGAAAUGUAUCUACAAAGACAGAGAAGGAGUAGCCAGAGAGUAGGAGAAAAACCAGAGGACUCUGGGUUACUUAAUUCAAGAGAAAAGUGUUUCAAGGAAGCGGCAUCGUCAGCAGGGUUGGAUGCUGCUGAAUGGUCAAGCAUGAUACUUGACAAAGGCCAUAGCAUUCAGUGACUUACAGAUCAUUGAUGACCUAGAGUUAUGGCGCAGGGAAGCCAGAUUGGGUUGAGAAAGGAAACAAUGUAUACAACUUUUUAAAGAAGUACCAGGGAACUUCAAAAGUCUGUGGAUCCUUAAUUCUACUCUGAGGCCUCCUUCACAUUCUCCUGAACGUAUAAAUGUGUAAUUGUCAGAAAGAAUCAUGGCUUACAAUGAAUUCCUAGAUAGAUUUUUUUUUUUUUUGGAGAGGGAGUCUUGCUCUGUCGCCGAGACUGGAAUGCAGUGGUGCCAUCUCGGUUCACUGCAACAUUUACCUCCCGAAUUAAGGAAAUUGUCCUGCUUCCACCUCCCAAGUAGCCUGGCACCACGCAUGGCUAAUUUUGUAUUUUUAGUAGAGACAGCGUUUCACCGUGUUGGCCAGGCUGGUAUCCAACUCCUGACCUCACGUGAUAUGCACACCUAAACCUCCCAAUGGGUUGGGAAUACAGGCGUGAGCCACUCUGUCCAGCCUGGAUUUUUUUUUUCUUUUGAGGUAAGGUCUCUGUUUGUCACCACCGCUGGAUUGCAACGACACAAUCACAGCUCACUGAAUCCUUGACCUUCUGGGUUCAGUUGAUCCUCCCACAUCAGCCUCCUGAGUAGCUGGGAUUAUAGUCAUGGGCCACCAUGCCCAGCUAAAUUUUAUAUUUUUUGUUGAAACAGGGUUUUGCCAUGUUGCCCAGGCUGGUCUCAAACUCUUGGGCUCAAGCAUUCUGCCCACCUUAGCCUCCCAAAGUGCUGGGAUUAUAGGUGUGAGCCACUGUGUCCAGCAUUAUGGGUUUUUAAAAGAACAGAGGCCAGGUGCAGUGGCUGACUCCUGUAAUCCUAGCACUUUGGGAGGCCGAAGCAGGUGGACCACCUGAGGUCAGGAGUUCAAAACCAGCCUGGCCAACAUGGCAAAACCCCAUCUCUACUAAAAAAUAGAAAAAAAAAAAUUAGCCACGUGUGGUGGUGCACACCUUUAGUACAAACUACUCAGGAGACUCAGGCAGGAGAAUCGCUUGAACCCAGGAGGCAGAGGUUGCAGCGAGUGGAGAUCACGUCACUGUACUCCAGUCUGGGUGACAGAGAGCCAGAUUCUGUCUCAAAAAAAAAAAAAAACUUGUGGGAAAUAGAAAUAAAAGAUAAAAAAUAUUAACUUCUUAUCAUAAGAUCCAUCAAGAUCAAGACACUUUGCUUACAACAAGUAAGCAAGGAUACUAGCCAUUUGUUUAUUUAUUUUUGUCUCUUGCUCAAAGCAAUUAGAUACUAGCCAUUUUAUCCAUCCCCAAAGAAUUGGAGGUCCUGGGAAUUUACAUCAGUGCCAUCUUUUUUACAUUAUUAACUGGAAGAAAAUGGUUCCACUUACAGCUAUUUUUAUCAUUAGGAAACCAAAAGAAGUCAGAAGGAGCUAAAUCCCAGCUGUAGGGUGGAUGCAUACUGGUUUCCCAUUGAAACUCAAAAUUUUCCCUGUUUGAUGAGAGGCAUGAGCAGAAGCUUUGCCAUGGUAGAAAAGGAUUCUCUGGUGAAGCUUUCCUGGGCAUUUUUUCUGCUAAAGCUUUGGCUUUUUCAAAACACUCUCACAUUAAGCAGAUUUUAUUAUUCUUCAGCCCUCCAGAAAGUCAACAAGCAAAAUUUCUUGAGCAGCUCCAAAAACUAUUGUGAUGACCUUUGCUCUUGGCCAGUCCACUUCUCUUUGAUUGGACCACUUCCACCUGUUCGGAGUCAUCACUUCGAUUGUGCUGUGUCUUCAGAGUCAUACUCCGAAAGCCACGUUUCACCUCCUGUUACACUUUCCCAAUAGAUGCUUCAUAAUCUAUUGGUUGGUGCAAAAGUAAUUGUGGUUUUUGACAUUCCUUUCAAUGGCAAAAACCGCAAUUAAUUUUGCAGCAACCUAAUAGAUCCCACUUGUUUAAAAUUUCCAUUGAAAGCUCUGCUCUCGUCUGCAGCUGAUCUGGUUUUGGCACUCAUCAAGUGGAAAGUUUGCUCAGCUUUUAAUUUUUCAGUCAGAAUUGUGUAAGCUGAACCAAUUGCGAUGUCUAUGGUGUUGUUUUUGCUGUUAAUUUUUGGUCCUUCCAAAUUAGGGCACAAAGAAGAUUAAUUCUUUUCUCACAAAUUGAUGUGGAUAACCUGUUGCUGCAGGCUUCAUCUUCAGCAUUGUCUUGUCCUUUCUUACAAGUUAACUAUUUGUAAACUGCUGAUUUCUUUAGCUGCAUUGUCCCCAUAAACUUUUCAUAAAGCAGCAGUGAUUUUACCAUUCUUCCACGCAAGCAUCCCCCUAAAUGUGAUGUUUGUUGUUGUCCCUUCAAUUUUAGCAGAAUUCAUUUUGCUCUGAUUGGAGCUCUGUUCAAACUGAUUACCUCUCCUUUUUAAUGCCUCAAACUAGAUCCUGUAACUUGUUAGUACCCAGUUUAUUCUGGUGCAAAAAUAUUUUGUUUUUCAGAUGAAGUCUCACUCUGUCACCCAGCCAGGAGGGCUGUGGUGCCAUCUCAGCUCACUACAACCUCACCUCCUGAGUUCAAGUGAUUCUCCUGCCUCAGCCUCCUGAAUAGCUGGGAUUACAAAUAUGCACCACCGCGACUGGCUAAUUUUUGUCUUUUUUCGUAGAGAUGAGGUUUCACCAUAUUGGCCAGGCUGGUCUCAAACUCCUGACCUCAAGUGAUCUACCUGUCUCAGCCUCCCAAAAUGCUGGGAUUACAGGUGUGAGUCACCACGCCCAGUCCUUAAAAGGUUUUGCAAUCCAUGCGUAGUUUCUUAAUAAUACAUAUUUCCCAUGGACUUUUUGAAGACUUCUCAUAUGGCUAUUUAUAUGGUUGGGCUCUCUGUGUCCCCACCCAAAUCUCACCUUGAAUUGUAAUCCUCAUGUAUCAAAGGAGGAACUUGGUAGGAGAUGAUUGGAUUAGGAGAGCGGUUUCUCUCUUUCUGUUCUCCUGAUAGUAAGUCACAGGAGAUCUGAUGGUCUUAAAAGUGGCAGUUUUUCCUGUGCUCGCAAUUUGCCUCGCCUGUUAAAAUGUAAGACAUGCCAGCUUCACCUUCUGCCAUAGUAGUCAAUUUCCUGAGGCCUCCUGAGCCAUUUGAAACUGUGAGUCAAUUAAACCUCUUCUCUUUAGAUAUUACCCAGUCUCAGGUAUUUCUAUCAGUGUGAAAACAGACUAAUACAGCUGUGAAAGAAAUGGAGAUACAUAGGUUAAUAGUGUUAAUGAAGCAGUAUUUUAAAUAUAAAAAAGUAAGUUUAGAAGCCAAAAGGAAAUCUCUAGAAGGAUGACCACCUAAGAGAAAAAGACAACUAAUAGUGUAGGCUUCCUGCAAAGGUAGAUGAAAAUGGAACCCAGGGUAGAGGUUAGAGGAGUCGGCCUUAGGAGAAGCAACGCUCAUGAACCACCAGGCGUGAGUUGAUACCGCUUGCCUCUUUGUCUAGCCUGUCGCCAGCCACCUCAAGGCUGUCUAUGUCAGCCUCUCCCUCUUUUGGUCUACUUGCCUUGCCUGUCCAGCUCUGGGUAAACUGCACUUCCGCACUCCAUCCUCUUAAAUUUCUUCCACUGGCUCAUUCAUUUAGCAAACAUGUACCAAUCACUGACUGUGUGUCCAGCCCUGGAGGUCAGGGAUUCAAAUAAAUCCUUGUGCCUGUGGAACUCAUGUUUCAGUGUUGGCAAGAGACAAGUAGCAGUAGUCAGAUCAUGAUGCACGAUGUCAGAAGGGUCGUAGUAGCACGGGGUGGAGUGGGAGCCUCCUGCCCCUAAGCUGCAAGUGUUGCUGGAGAAAAUCCCUCAACCAGAUCAACUGGCAAAACCACAGGAGCGCCCUCCCUCCUGCUAAGCGAUUUUUAAAACCCAUCUUAAAUUGAUAUCCUUUCCCAGCACCGCCUUUCUUCUACUUUGCUCCCUUGCUCUCAUUUCUUAUGUUGCAGGCAAGGGGGGUAAGGACCACUUCCUCAUAAAGCGUAAUUUCAUGUCCUUGAUAACUAUAGACCAGGCACAGUGGCUUAUACCUAUAACCCCAGCACUUGGAGAGGCUGAGGCAAGCAGAUCACUUGAGGUCAGCAGUUGGAGACGAGCCAGGCCUACAUGGCAUAACCCCGUCUCUUAGCAUUCCGGAGGCCAUGGCAGGAGGAUCACUUAACUUCAGGAGUUCAAGACCAGACUGGAUAACAUAGGGAGACCCCAUCUCUACUAAAAAUUUUAAAACUUAGGCCAGUGUGAGAGAGUACCUGCAAUCCCAGCUACUAGAGAGCUGAGAUGGGAUGAUUGCUUGAGUCUGGAAUGUCGAGGCUGCAGUGAGCUGCGAUCAUGCCACUUCUGCUUUAGCCUGGGUAACACCAUGAGACCAUGUCUCCAGACAAAAAAGAAAUUGACCAGACUUAUAAAAUAAUAAUUGUGAAAUGAUUGCUUUUCUUUGGAGAUGGAGAGAAGCGGUGGGCAAGCUGUCAUUUACCAUACCCUCACUUUGGUUUUUAAAGACUUCGGUGUAGUAUAUAUUAAUACAUAACUUAGGACUUAGAAAAUCCUAUGUAAAUGCUGAGUAGCAUUGUUUGUAACAGUAACAUAUUUCGUUGUACUUCAGGAUCCUCUGGGGAUGCAGGUUAGCCAUCCAGGAGCUCAAAGCCUAGGUUGACGCUUGAGCCCUGAUGGCAGCACCUAGUCUGGAGAUUCAGCAGUAGAAAGAAAGCAGGAAAGUGAUAUUAACCAAAGAAAAGAAGGAGGAAGAGAGUGAUAAGUCCAGAUGGCCUUAGGUGUCCUGACUGUCAAGGUAGCCAAAGAGCACACUUAAGCAAUCCAGAAGUGCCUUCAGGGCAAAGAAUAGAGAGAAAGGGGGGUAGAUGUACUGGUGGGUUACACUGCAGAGGAGUAAGUUUUGCAUCAAAGCAGGAAUUGGAUUGGUGGUUCAGAAUUGGAAGUACAAUUUCAUUGUUUUUGUAAUUUCCACAAAUUAAUUUUAAAGUGUCAGAAAAAGGUGAAGGUGAGGACAUGCACUGCAAUUUGCAGGGGGGAAUAUCAGAUGAGGACUUAAUCACGUGUGACACGAGAGAAAAGUAAGAGCUGGUUCUAAAUCAAAAGCUGUUGUUUGUCCUGAAUUGAAUUUUCUUUCUGGAUUUUUUUUUUUUUGAGACAGUGUCUCACUCUGUUGUCCACGCUGGAGUGCAGUGGUGCAAUGUCUGCUCACUGCAACCUCCACCUCCUGGGUUCAAGUGAUUCUCCUGCCUCAGCCUCCCGAGUAGCUGGGAUUACGGACAUUUUUAGUAGAGAAGGGGUUUUCACCAUGUUGGCCAUGCUGGUCUUGAACUCCUGACCUCAGGUGAUCCUCCCACCUUGGCCUUCCAAAGUGCUGGGAGUACAGGCAUGAGCCAUCACGCCUGUUUGUUCCAGUCUAGUUCUAUUUCAUUGUUGAUGAUAACUGUUGACUUUGUGUAGUGUAGAAGCAAGAAGCAUGUCCUUGUAGUAAGUACAGGGAAGGAUAGAACAACAAACUUUUGUUGAUGCAAAAAUUUAAAUAGUCAUGUUAUUUCUGCGUCUAAUGUUCUAAAGUUUUAGGAUUAGUUUUAGUUUUUUGUUUGCUUACGUGAGCUUAGCAUGAAGAAUAUUUUGAAACAUCUCGUUUUGUCUUCAGUUUUUUUUCUAUUAAUAGGUAAAAGUGUAGUAUUGGUUUGACUGUUGACGAUCUCAUGUGUGUUUGAUCUUAGGUCCCAUGAUGUGAGUGCAUACCCUCUCCAGGAAGGAAACUGCACCAUUGGCUGUUCCUGUUAAACAGCAACUUUUAGCCUCAGCUUGUACUGAUGAAAUAAAUAGUAACAACAUUCAA